rnacentral:misc_RNA from 1 species
GAUGAAGAACGUAGCGAAAUGCGAUACGUAAUGUGAAUUGCAGAAUUCAGUGAAUCAUCGAAUCUUUGAACGCAUAUUGCGCUCUCUGGUAUUCCGGAGAGCAUGCUUGUUUGAGUAUCAGUAAACACCUCAACUCCCUUUUCUUUUUUGAAAUUGGAGCUGGACUUGAGUGAUCCCAACGCUUUCUUCCAAGAAAGUGGCGGGUUGCUUGAAAUGCAGGUGCAGCUGAACUUUUCUCUGAGCUAUAAGCAUAUCUAUUUAGUCUGCCUAAAAAACAGAUUAUUACCUUUGCUGAAGCUAACAUAAAGGAGACUAGUUCUUGUGCUGACUGAUGCAGGAUUCACAGAGACAGCUUCGGCUGACUUUGUAAACUCGAUCUCAAAUCAAGUAAGACUACCCGCUGAACUUAAGCAUAUCAAUAAGCGGAGGA